rnacentral:rRNA from 1 species
UACGUAGGGUGCGAGCGUUAAUCGGAAUUACUGGGCGUAAAGCGUGCGCAGGCGGUUUUGUAAGCCAGAUGUGAAAUCCCCGGGCUUAACCUGGGAAUGGCAUUUGGGACUGCAAGGCUUGAGUGCGGCAGAGGAGACUGGAAUUCCCGGUGUAGCAGUGAAAUGCGUAGAUAUCAGGAGGAACACCGAUGGCGAAGGCAGGUCUCUGGGCCGAUAUUGACGCUGAGGAGCGAAAGCGUGGGGAGCGAACAGG